UCUAAGUUCCUACGCAAAUAAUCCUAAAGCUGGAGCCCUUUCUCUAAAACCUCUUUUGGACAAAGCUGAAUCCGUGGUUCCAAAAGAUUUGCAGCCUCAAACACCCCUUAAACUUGGGGCAACUGCUGGUUUGAGGUUAUUAAAAGGUGAUGCUGCUGUUAAAAUAUUGCAAGCGGUGAGGGAUUUAUUUAAGAAUGAAACUACUCUUAAUUACAAGGCGGAAUGGGUUUCAGUCCUCGAUGGUACACAAGAAGGUUCAUAUUUUUGGGUAAGUCACUUCAAAAUUAACAAAGUUUAAUUAUUAUUAGUGCAAAAGUAAUAUACAUGUUUAUGGUUUUGUCAUUGCUCACGCUGUCAAUGUAAAACAUAAUAUAAUUACUAAAAUUGUCACGCUCAUGCUGUCAAUUAAAACAUAAAUAAUUAUCAAUUAUCACUUAAUUAGUAAAAUUGGCGUCAUAAGAUAAUAUAAUAUUUUCGUCUUCAUUAAAUCGUAGGUACCCUUUUAUCUAAUGAUGCUAGUGAGA